rnacentral:rRNA from 1 species
UACCAGCACCCCGAGUGGUCGGGACGAUUAUUGGGCCUAAAGCAUCCGUAGCCGGUCUUGCAAGUCUUCCGUUAAAUCCACCUGCUUAACAGAUGGGCUGCGGAUGAUACUACAAGACUAGGAGGCGGGAGAGGCAAGCGGUACUCAGUGGGUAGGGGUAAAAUCCUCUGAUCCAUUGAAGACCACCAGUGGCGAAGGCGGCUUGCCAGAACGCGCUCGACGGUGAGGGAUGAAAGCUGGGGGAGCAAACCGG